CCAGACUCCUACGGGAGGCAGCAGUGGGGGAUAUUGCACAAUGGGGGAAACCCUGAUGCAGCGACGCCGCGUGUGGGAAGACGGUCUUCUGGAUUGUAAACCACUGUCCCCAGGGAAGAAAAUGACGGUACCUGACUAAGAAGCCCCGGCUAACUACGUGCCAGCAGCCGCGGUAAUACGUAGGGGGCAAGCGUUAUCCGGAUUUACUGGGUGUAAAGGGAGCGUAGACGGCGCUGCAAGUCCGGAGUGAAAGUCCAUGGCUUAACCAUGGUACUGCUCUGGAAACUGUGGAGCUUGAGUGCGGGAGGGGCAGGCGGAAUUCCUAGUGUAGCGGUGAAAUGCGUAGAUAUUAGGAGGAACACCGGCGGCGAAGGCGGAUUGCUGGACAGUAACUGACGCUGAGGCGCGAAAGCGUGGGGAGCAAACAGGAUUAGAUACCCUUGUAAAA
rnacentral:rRNA from 1 species